rnacentral:lncRNA from 1 species
AAGUAGAUCGCACUGUUCUAUAUCAAUUUAGCGCCAUUCGCGACACCAUCGUUGUCGCUUUCUCCCAAAUUCCCAUUUCUGAUCGGUUUCUAUCGUCUGAGUCGUCUGCGGUCCAAAAUUAUUAUUUUAUGUGCGAGUGUUAUAUAAGAUCAGAUCUUUUGGCCUACAUCAGAUCUACCAUCAAGGGAAGGUAUGGAGACUCCGGAAAGUGACCAGUUCAAUCAUACUCAGGAAAUGCAGUGUCCAUCAACUGUGGGCAGGCGAAGUGUGGAGAUGAAAAGUGUCGCGAAGGAGUUCUUCUGUCUCACUGAUGAGACAGACCAAGGGAGGGUGAGUGUGUCAAUACGUGGAGCCAGUAUGAGGAGCAGCCACGCUCCUGGACACUGCAAAGGGAGUGAAUCUGUGCUGCGCAGGACUGUGACCUUGGAUUAUAAUGAUGGUGAUGACUAUGAUGAUACAGAGGGAAUCGCUGAACAUACAACAAAACCAGAAGUCACAGAAGAAUGGAUGUCAGUCAUGGGGGCAAAACUCCCAGAGUUACCAGUUCAUAAAAAGGAGACCUCAAGAACGAAAUGUGAGUCUCCAAAAGAAUAUAUUCAGCUCCAAAGUGAUAAAGGGAUGAGUGUACCAGAAACACAGACAAGGAUGAAAGAUCAGGCCAAGAUACUGGUGAGUCACAACGUACCAGAGGAGGCUGGUGGUAGGAGCUAUCGGAGGACUGGCUUAUUGUAA